GAGUUUGAUCAUGGCUCAGAACGAACGCUGGCGGCAGGCUUAACACAUGCAAGUCGAACGCGUGUAGCAAUACACGAGUGGCGCACGGGUGAGUAACACGUGGAUAUCUGCCUUUUGGUUCGGAAUAACCCUGGGAAACUAGGGCUAAUACCGGAUGGUUCCUACGGGAUAAAGAUUUAUCGCCAAAAGAUGAGUCCGCGUCCGAUUAGCUAGUUGGUGAGGUAAUGGCUCACCAAGGCGACGAUCGGUAGCUGGUCUGAGAGGACGAUCAGCCACACUGGGACUGAGACACGGCCCAGACUCCUACGGGAGGCAGCAGUGGGGAAUAUUGGACAAUGGGGGCAACCCUGAUCCAGCCAUGCCGCGUGAGUGAUGAAGGCCUUCGGGUUGUAAA
rnacentral:rRNA from 1 species